UCUUGGUCAUUUAGAGGAAGUAAAAGUCGUAACAAGGUCUCCGUUGGUGAACCAGCGGAGGGAUCAUUAAAGAGUUUUCGUAACUCCCAAACCCAUGUGAACUUACCUUCUGUUGCCUCGGCAGGUCGUGUCUACCCUGUGGUCACCUACCCUGUAGGUGACUACCUGGUAGUCACGGGUCCGCCUGCCAGUGGCCCGUUAAAACACUGUUUAUUAUAUGUUAUUCUGAUUUUACAACUAAAUAAGUUAAAACUUUCAACAACGGAUCUCUUGGUUCUGGCAUCGAUGAAGAACGCAGCGAAAUGCGAUAAGUAAUGUGAAUUGCAGAAUUCAGUGAAUCAUCGAAUCUUUGAACGCACAUUGCGCCCAUUAGUAUUCUAGUGGGCAUGCCUGUUCGAGCGUCAUUUCAACCCUUAAGCCCCUGUUGCUUAGUGUUGGGAGCCUACAGUCCUCUGUAGCUCCUUAAAGUUAGUGGCGGAGUCGGUUCGCACUCUAGACGUAGUAGCUUCUAUCUCGUCUGUAGUUAGGCCGGUCUCUUGCCGUAAAACCCCCUAAUUUUUCAAGGUUGACCUCGGAUCAGGUAGGAAUACCCGCUGAACUUAAGCAUAUCAAUAAGCGGAGGA
rnacentral:rRNA from 1 species